UAGUGGAGCGUCGAAAAUUCUAUGGAAACCUAAAUAAUAUACAAACCGACCAGACCUUCACCAUACAUCGUGCUUCCUCUAUCACAACCGCUACUUUGAUUAUCGGGACUCCAUCUUCUUCUGAUUGUAGUAGAUCGGUCAAGUUUCCCUCACAUAUAUAUGAUUUAUGCUCUCACGUUCUGAUAAGUAGAGCCAUCACUGAUAGCAGAGCAAUUGGCUAAAGAUCUUGAAUUAUUCGCGCAUCAUGCUGGUCGUAAAUCUGUGAAUAUGGAAGAUGUCAUCCUUACUGAAACGUGUAGGCAUUGAGACCCGAGGCUUGAAGAAAUGUGAAUGUUGGCCAUCGUGUAAGGUGUUGAUGAACAUAAAUUAGGGUUUUAAGCUCUGCAAAGAUGGAGAAGAUCUCUGGUGGAAUUGAACAAGAGAAAACAAUGAUUUCUGGAGAAUCAUAUGAUAAACAUGACAUUGAAUAUUCAAUAUCACAGAAAGAAUUGCAAACUUUGUGGGCUAUUGGAAAACUUUUUGGACUAAUUCCUGACGGUUUCUAUUCAGUUCUUCCUGAGAACCGUUAGACCAAUAGCUGGAACAAUCGUUUGUGAAACUCCUCGAGAGACAGUUGUGAUAGAUCAGAAUAACCCAACUGAUCAGACGGGAGAAAGAUCUGAUUUGUCUGGUUUUGCUCCAUCCAUGGUAAUAGAGGCGGGACUGAUGGCUAGAACAGAUGACCGGAGUAACAGCAAGGUCAAGGAGGAGAUGGUGGAAAUGCUUCUGCUAAUCUUUAUUAAGCCUAUAUUCCAGAAGCUUAUCAAAGAAGAUUAUGGACAGUUUGCGGAAUUCAAGUUCUUCAUCUCAUAUGGAUUAUGAUAUUUCGAGGAGAGGAUGCUGAAAGUAAAAGUGAUAAAGGGACAAAUUUAGAAGUGAUAAAUAUGUUUUAAUUUUGAUGAAUUUGUUUAAGAUUUAAUUUGAAUUUAUUUUGUGAUAAAUGGAUUAUUGAUGAUACUA